GAAAGACUUUCACCACCCACUCAAGAAGAGUCAAAUUUUGCUUAUAUCCUAUGUUAAUAAUUUAUUUAACUAUCUACCUACUUAAACAACUAUUGGAAAACUAAGUUAAACUAGUGCUAAAUGCAGUGAACAAACAAACCAGAGCCAAACCGUAGCACAUUAAUAGCACUAGCCAGUUUUUUAAGACCCUUCCGUGCUCAUCCGGCCUAGUGUAGAGCACAGAACUAUGCUAUACUAAACAGCAUAGUUCCAGUUAUUUCUUGCUAGCUCGGCCCUUCCAGCCUAGUUCAGAGAACUUAGCCUUAUCAAGCCGCGUCCGAGUAACAGGCCAAGUUCUGGUUAUCAGCCUUGGUCAACUUCGCAUAGAAUCGUUCCGGUUGUAGGGAAAUCGAUUCGAAAUACUGAUUUUGUUGAAGCUGCUUCGCUAUCAAGACCGGUGUCUUUUUCCCCUCCUCCCCAACAUUCAACUCGGAACAUCCGUUCAACGCUUCUGUAAGAUCAACUCGGACGCAGGAAUUCCUCAAACUUACUAUACUAGCCGACCGGAUACGGACAGAACAACCCAUUGGAUACAUGUUGUGCUCGUUUCAAUGAAAUAGUUAAUUACUUUGAUUUUAAUAUUUCUGACGCUGUGUUCAAAAGUAAGAUAAGGUAGUAUCUUAU